rnacentral:rRNA from 1 species
AUGUCUAGUAUAAGCAAGUACAAAGUGAAACUGCGAAUGGCUCAUUAUAUAAGUUAUCGUUUAUUUGAUAUUGCCUAUCCUACAUGGAUAACAGUGGUAAUUCUAGAGCUAAUACAUGCUGAAAAUCCCGACUUCGGAAGGGACGUAUUUAUUAGAAUCAGAACCAAUGCCCUUCGGGGUUCCUUGGUGACUCAUGAUAACUCCACAGAUCGCAUGGCCUUGCGCCGGCGAUGGCUCAUUCAAAUUUCUUCCCUAUCAACUUUCGACGGUACGGUAUUGGCCUACCGUGGUUGUAACGGGUGACGGAGGGUUAGGGCUCGACCCCGGAGAGGGAGCCUGAGAAACGGCUACCACAUCCAAGGAAGGCAGCAGGCGCGCAAAUUAUCCAAUCCCGACACGGGGAGAUAGUGACAAUAAAUACCGAUACAGGGCUCUUUUGGGCCCUGUAAUUGGAAUGAGUACAAUUUAAACCUCUUAACGAGGAACAAUUGGAGGGCAAGUCUGGUGCCAGCAGCCGCGGUAAUUCCAGCUCCAAUAGCGUAUAUUAAAGUUGUUGUGGUUAAAAAGCUCGUAGUCGAACCUCGAACCUGGCCGGUUGGUCCGCCUCACCGCGUGCACUGAUCUGGCCGGGUUCUUCCCUCUGCGGAACCGCAUGUCCUUCACUGGGCGUGUCGGGGAGGCAGGACUUUUACUUUGAAAAAAUUAGAGUGCUCAAGGCAGGCCAAUGCUCGAAUACAUUAGCAUGGAAUAAUAGAAUAGGACGUUGGUUCUAUUUUGUUGGUUUCUAGGACCGCCGUAAUGAUCAAUAGGGGACGGUCGGGGGCAUCAGUAUUCAGCCGUCAGAGGUGAAAUUCUUGGACCGGCUGAAGACUAACUACUGCGAAAGCAUUUGCCAAGGACGUUUUCGCUGAUCAGGAACGAAAGUUAGGGGAUCGAAGACGAUCAGAUACCGUCGUAGUCUUAACCAUAAACUAUGCCGACUAGGGAUCGGGCGGCGUUCUUUCUAGACCCGCUCGGCACCUUUCGAGAAAUCAAAGUGCUUGGGCUC